rnacentral:rRNA from 1 species
UACGUAGGGUGCGAGCGUUGUCCGGAAUUAUUGGGCGUAAAGGGCUCGUAGGCGGUUUGUCGCGUCGGGAGUGAAAUCCACUGGCUUAACUGGUGGCUUGCUUUCGAUACGGGCAGACUGGAGGUAUGCAGGGGAGAACGGAAUUCCUGGUGUAGCGGUGAAAUGCGCAGAUAUCAGGAGAACACCGGUGGCGAAGGCGGGUCUCUGGCGAUGA